CCUACGGGAGGCAGCAGUGAGGAAUAUUGGUCAAUGGACGAGAGUCUGAACCAGCCAAGUAGCGUGAAGGAUGACUGCCCUAUGGGUUGUAAACUUCUUUUAUAUGGGAAUAAAAUGUUCCACGUGUGGGAUUUUGUAUGUACCAUAUGAAUAAGGAUCGGCUAACUCCGUGCCAGCAGCCGCGGUAAUACGGAGGAUCCGAGCGUUAUCCGGAUUUUUUGGGGUUAAAGGGAGCGUAGGUGGAUUGUUAAGUCAGUUGUGAAAGUUUGCGGCUCAACCGUAAAAUUGCAGUUGAAACUGGCAGUCUUGAGUACAGUAGAGGUGGGCGGAAUUCGUGGUGUAGCGGUGAAAUGCUUAGAUAUCACGAAGAACUCCGAUUGCGAAGGCAGCUCACUGGACUGCAACUGACACUGAGGCUCGAAAGUGUGGGUAUCAAACAGGAUUAGAUACCCCAGUAGUC
rnacentral:rRNA from 1 species